UGUUUGUUUUGUAUAAACCAACAAUUCUGUUUGUUCCUUUUUUUUUUGUUUUUUUGACAGAACAAUGCAACGUCUCUUUUGCCAGUGCCAGUGCCAUGUGCAGGUCAUGCAUUUGGUCUGUAAAUUAACCCAUCGAACAAUUUCAUAAUGUCAAAAACUAAUUAAAAGGCAGAGAUAGAUCAUAGAUGCAUGGAGCAAAUGAGAAAGGAGGAAGGGAUGAAGCGGCGGCGGCGGCGACAUUGCUGCUCGAUCUCGUUGCUACUGCUUCUGUCCUUGUUCGUCCUCCUCACAUUGCUGCACAUCGCCCUGCUCACCGGAGGGCAGUCCAUGGCCGGGCGAGGCGGCGGCGAGCCACCGCCGGCGCCGACCUCCAGCGGCGGCUCCCAUGAAGCUUUCACUUGGCCCGGCUACGGCGACGUGCUGCCGGUGCCACCUCUGUCUCCUGACAAGCAGCACUAGUGCCCCAUCAAUUGACUUGUUCACCAGAUCGGAUCGAUGGCCGGCCGGGAACUCCAUGGAUCGAUGUGGCUGCAAGUUUUACUGCUCUGCACUAGCAAUUUGUAAUUGGCUGUGUAGGCAAUGCUCGCGUUAUAGAUAAACUCUUUCCUAGCACAACGAAUCUGGAUAAACAACGAAUCUGGAUAAACUUGUAGCCAGAUUUGUUGAAUUAGCAGGAGUCACAUUUAAGCCUAGGUUAAGUUUUUUUAGACGGAGAAAGUAGCGAGUAGCAAUCAACCUGUACUAUUGUACUACAUGUAUCCACCAAUUGCUCUAGUAUGCUUGAACAUUGCAGAUAUGGUUGACGAUUUCACCUUCUGUUUCAACACCGUCGGUUUAAUAAUGUUUG